AGUGGAGACAACUGGGUCUCAUAUUGCUGCUAAACACUUGAUGCUUUGAAACAGGGUACAGACACCUCAAACAGAGCUGUCCUCUGCCACACACAGACCAACUUUCCCUCCUCUUGCUUCGCUCAGCUGGGACUUUGUGUCAUUUCACCUGUGAGAAAUACAUGGCUAGGCGCUCCUCAGCCACGCUGAGCCCAGCUUAGCUUGCAGCCUGGAGGAGACUGGAAGCUAGUGUGACAAGCUCCACAGGUGGUGUCCAAGUUCUUGCUGAAAAUGUUCACUUCUGCCAUGAGAAAGUCGGUCAUUGCACUUUGUUCACUCUUCAGGAGAUCUUCCAGGAAUGGGGAGUACAGGAACCAGAGCUCAAAGUUCUCCUCUCUGUCAGCUGUUUAACACAAAAUAAGUUGGGGCUUGUGUAGGCAACCUGUGGUGUUUUCCUUUCUCUCACUUUUGAAGCAAGCUUGUGCUUCUUUUGGGAAAUGCUUUUGGGAAAGCUUUUACUUGGGUUAUUUGUUCCACAGACACAGGGCUUUAAGACUGUGCUCCUCUUCCAAACUGCUUUGGUUUAACCCAGCAGACAGUAAACACCACACAUGUGUUCCCUUACUUCCUCCCCAGUGGGAUAGGAGAGAGGCAAUUGUAAAAAAAAAAUAAAACUUGUAGAUUCAGAUGAGGACAGUUUAACAGGGCAGAAAAGGAAGGGAAAAUAAUGGUAAGAGCUUAUAUAAAUUAAGUGAUGAACAAUAGAGUUGCUCCUCCUCUGCUAACCGUUGCCCAAAGAGUGCCAGAGCAGUGGACUGGAAACCAGCAGCCACUCUCCCCAGUUUUAUCAUUCAGCACAACACCAUAUGAUAAGGAACAAGGAAUAUCCCUUGAGCCACCUGGAAUUACUUGUCCUGCCUUUGUCCCCUUCCAAAUUAUGUGCACCCCCAGCUUUCCUGUCUGGCAGGAAGAACUUAAAAAGUCCUUGAUUUAGCAUAAGAAUUGACUCAGCAAGAACUAAAUUAUCAGGGUGUAUCAGUAUCUUCAUAAUCCUAAAUCAAAAAAUGCAGCACUAAACCAGCUCUGAGGGAGGAAAAUUAACUCUGAAAGUUGAAAGCAGGACACAAACUCACAAUCGUUGCUCAAUAUUUUAGUUAAUCUAAUGUUUGCAGAGGGGUGCACUAUGGCCUUGAAGCCCUAGGUCCUGGUAAGGCUCUUUGCUGUUGAGAUGUGGCAGUGGGAGGAAGAUGUAAACAAACAGGCAACUUCAGAAGAGCAGAUUUGCUUUGCCUUCUACUUGGAGAGCCAGUCCUGGGUCUGAGAAUGUUAGCAAUAUUAGUAAUUUGAAUUUUACACACUUUAGCAUAUACAUAUCAGUAUAUUCUUUUUUAUUCCCUCUCUAUUUGGGAUGUCAGGAAGCUGGGAAGGCAAAAAU
rnacentral:lncRNA from 1 species